UGGGGAAUAUUGGACAAUGGGCGAAAGCCUGAUCCAGCCAUGCCGCGUGUGUGAAGAAGGUCUUCGGAUUGUAAAGCACUUUAAGUUGGAGGAAGGGCAGUAAGCGAAUACCUUGCUGUUUUGACGUUACCGACAGAAUAAGCACCGGCUAACUCUGUGCCAGCAGCCGCGGUAAUACAGAGGGUGCGAGCGUUAAUCGGAAUUACUGGGCGUAAAGCGCGCGUAGGUGGUUCGUUAAGUUGAAUGUGAAAGCCCCGGGCUCAACCUGGGAACUGCAUCCAAAACUGGCGAGCUAGAGUAGGGCAGAGGGUGGUGGAAUUUCCUGUGUAGCGGUGAAAUGCGUAGAUAUAGGAAGGAACACCAGUGGCGAAGGCGACCACCUGGGCUCAUACUGACACUGAGGUGCGAAAGCGUGGGGAGCAAACAGG
rnacentral:rRNA from 1 species